CAGUGUAUAGCACUGGUUAGAACAGCAGCUGUGUUAGUAAAGGCUCCCUGGGGAGCAGAAGAUGUAGAGCAGUGAUUGCAGCACAGCCCACAGUUAGUCACCUUGUACUGGAUCAGGAAAGGGUAGGACUCACCUUGAGACUCUGCAGCCUCUUGACUGUGCUCGUGCUAGGAAGGUGUGGGUUUGUAAACAGCUAAUUACAGACUCUUCUCUCUGGUUCCAGUUUCUUCUGUGGUGGGCAGGGAUGUCCUGUUCUUUUCAGCACAUCUUCAUUUCUUCUCUAGUUGAAAGGGGUUCUGCUACUUCUCCUCGGGCCUCUCUGCUUGGCUGUUUGCUUCUGCUGUGCUGAUGGCUUGGGUCCCUCCACACUGUUGUGUACUCUUAAAAUUCUUACACUUGAGGUGUUCAGGGAAGGAGAAUUAGACUGGUGUCCUCUUGAAGAGCUUCAAUACUUAAUAUUGUCAUUUUGAAAACUGUGGAUGGACCAUUUAUAUUCCAAAGCAGAAAAGUCUUGUCUAGUGUGCUGCAUGAGCACAUACUGGCAUGUAGUGCUAACAUGCUUGUAAAAAUAAAAUACUUAGCUGUAUUUUUUAAAAACCAUUUUGCUCAGAAAGUACAAUGUUAAUGAUACUUGAAGUGGCUGUUGAAGUUUUCAAAGCAGCUGAAAUUGUAAACAACAAACCACAAGAUAAUUAGGUGUCAUAGACUUAAUUUUGGCUUUGCUUUCAGUUAUUAUGCUUGAAUUGAAUAGUUUUGUGUCACUGAAAGAAGCAAGUAUUGUGUACACUCUGGAAGCCCAGUAUUGGAGCAGCUGUAAAUGUUGAAAUAAUUGUUUGCCCUAUACAACAAACUUGCCUCAGCUUUGCUUUGAGCUGCAAAUUGUUAGCUCUUCACAUAUAAUCAAAUGUGAAGGUUUGGAGUAUGUGUGACCUGGGUUUAUGAUAAUGGCCUGAACUGCACCAGCAUUUUUUAUUAGUGAGCAGAGAUCAGUCUCAUUCUGGGUAUCUUUGUGUGAUCAAGCAGUGCUGUAAAAUAUGUGCUGACAAAAAUGAAACCAAGGAUCACAGUAAUAUGCAAGAAAAUAGAGGUUUUUUACUAUUGCACCAGGUAGCCCAUAGCAGCUGUGAAAUAAGCCCUUCCAAUGAAAAAAAAAAUCAAAUCUUGGCAACUGUUGGUGUAUUGGAACUCUCCUGGUAACUUGCUUUUAUAUUCAGACACUUUUUGUGAGCACUUUGUAAAGUCUAAACCCAAAUGAUUUAUUUUAUAUUUCAAAUUUCUUAUAUUCCCCCAAAUAUGACUCUUUUUGAAGAAAUCAAGUGCUGGGCUUUGAGAGAAAUACUUAAAGCAGUCAGUCAUCCCAUGCCAACUUUUAGCAAACAAAAUGGUGUUAUGAAUUCAUCUGAACUUGUUUUGUGAGAUGGUGUCAUAGAACUGCCAGCAUUUCUUCAUCCCCUUCCAGCUCUGUUGCUGCUUUAUUUAGUAACAGGGAUUAGUAGCUCCUUUUGGAAAGUCUGUCAGAGUUGUUUCAUUUCAUAUAUGCUGAGCACAAGGCAACAUCCAACCCAGCUGUUUUCAGGACUAGGAUGUAGCAACUGCCAUGAUUUUAGUCACCCCAGACUUCAUGCUGUGGUUGACAGUUUGAAGUAGAACUUUUAUUGAAGAAAUAAU